rnacentral:lncRNA from 1 species
AGUUGAUGAACUUGUUACACCAGACCAAGUUGGGGGAAUCCACUGCUCAAACUCCUCCUCCCAUAUAUGCUGCAAACUUUGCUGGUACUAUGUUACCUGGAUUAUAGAUUCAGGUGCCUCUAAUCACAUGACACAUGAUAAACAACUACUUUUUAACAUUAUACCUUUAACUCUGCCAUAUCUUGGCACUCUUCCAAAUGGCUAUAAAGUGAAAGUGACUUGCACUGGCUCCUUUGCCUUGACAUCUUCCAUCACUCUUCACAAUGUACUACUAGUUCCUUCUUUUAAACACAACUUGAUUUCUGUUCACAAGUUAGUGAAGCAGUUGCAUUGUAUAGUUAUGUUCUUCUUUUAAACACAACUUGAUUUCUGUUCACAAGUUAGUGAAGCAGUUGCAUUGUAUAGUUCUGUUCACUGAACAUUCCUGCUUCCUACACAUGAUACAGGACCCCUCUCUGAGGAGGCCAUUGGAUCUUGGUAGAGAAGCUGCUGGCCUGUAUAAACUAGCUUGGGUUCCCUCUUCCCCUUCUCCCUCUGUUAAUUGUUUUUCUACUUCUGUUUCUCAUGAGUAUGCUUCUUGUAAUGAUAACAAAGUUGUUGCAUUGCCUUCUGUG